UGUGUUCGAGGAUUUUCGAAAAAGAAUCCCUUUAAAGACAAAAUCAAAAUAUAUUUUUAAAUUCUUGAAAAAUAUUUCCGCUCAAAAAUAAAUAUAUACUAUAUAUGAAAAACAAUGAGUGUUCAAGGAUUACUUGAUGAAAAAUUUCAGUUGAACUUGACAAAACCAAAAUAUAUUUUUAAAUUCUUGAAAAAUAUUUCCGCUCAAAAAUAAAUACUAUAUGAAAAACAAUGAGUGUUCAACGAUUACUCUGAUGAAAAAUUUCAGAUGGAACUUACCUAUAAAGUUCAACCGAAAUUUUACCAAUAAACCACAUUUUUUUAUGCAAAUUUUACCAAAUCCCCACUCUAAAGCUUGGCAUUCGCGUUUUGGUGGCCAGUCGUGGAAACAGCCAUUCUAUAAUGGUGCCAGAUGCAUACACCUUGCCAUUCCCAAAGCUCGUUUUAGUGGAAGCUUUGAGUCUCCGACCGAUUCGGAGCAAGAUCCAAUUCAUUAUCUGCCUUUUUUAUGUUUAAUAGGAAGAAUCAAUAUUCAUUUUUAUCUGCGUGUUCUUGGAAUAAGAAGAAACGAUGUUCGUUUUCAACGGAAUCAAUUCAAAUUACCCUAAAAGACAAAAAUGACGAAACACAACGACACCAAAUUAACACCCACUCAUUACCCUAAAAGACAAAAAUAACCUUGAAACACGAUUACACCAAAUUGACACGCAUGCACUCAUUAGCUUAAAAGAAAAACAAAAGCCUCAACAAAUCCUCCAUUGCCUCAAUCUGAUACAGUCCCCUUCUAAAGCCUCAACAAAACCCGUUUUGACCAAAACGGGUUUUGACGAUCGACCAGACCGUUUUUUCAAUCGGUCGACAGUUCUACCGAUCGAACUAGCUGGGUGAAUCCGAGUUUUAAAACCAUGUAACAUCAAUUCUCAUGUCAGAGACUCAGAAUUAUUAUUUUUUUGCCUUUUAAAGUUUAUUUACAAACAAACACAUAAAUAUUUACUCUUUACCCUAAAAGACAAAAAUGGCCUACACAAAUCUUCCAUUGUCACAGUCUGAUAGUCCCCUAUCUUCAAAUUUCAAUCGUCAAUAAAAAUUAUAAUAAUAUAAAAUUUUGGUCUCAGUUAUAAAAAUUCACUAAAAAAACUCAAAAACUGAAAUGGUUGAAUUAGUUAAAAAUAAAAUUACAUCAAUAUCCCAUCGAGAAAGCAUCAAAACACAGAGAUACUUUCAUAGUUUUCACUGAAAUGCCAAGGAAUCAAUCCAAACAUCACCUAGAAACACCGAUGGUAAAAAAGUAAGACGAAACACGACUACACUAAAUUGACACCCACUCAAUAAUCUAAAAGAUAAAAAUGACCUAGAAACACGACUACACCAAAUUGACACCCACUCGAAUACAAAUUGCUGGUUUGGUUUACUAUUUGUGAUUUGUUUGUUUUACCCUUUUCUGUUAUGUCCGGAAAGAAUUGAUAUAUAUUUUUUUCAGAUAGAUUAAAUUAACAAAAAGGCAAAUUCUCUUUACAAUUGAAAAGGCCAUAAGAGUCAAACGGUGUAAGAGAUGGCAGUUAUUGUCUCAAGUUGCGAAGGGGCAUCACUUGGCCAUGGGAAUCAACAGUGAUUGCUAUUAGUACUAAUAUUUCAUGGUUAUAAUUGAAUUAUGUACGAGUUCUAUGAAAAUGGAUCAAGUUUAGUUUGUAAUUUGUCGAAAAUGCAUGAUAACAAACAUAGUUUGAUAUGAAUAUAAAUGUAUUGCUACAUGGUCCAUGUGGUUUUAAUGUUGUAGUUAGGUUCCAUUUGGAAUCAACUUAUUUGAGUUUUUCUGUUGAUUUUUUUUUAAGACAUUUUUGCUUUUUUACUUUUACUUAUUUGUUUUUUUUAAUCUAAAAUAGAGUCAGAGAAAAUCAAAAAAAAUCAAAAAAACUUCACUUUUUUAAAAGUAAGCUUAAAAAAAGCUUGGUUUUAAUCAUUACCAAACGGAGCCCUAAUGUACAAAUGUAGUUAACAUAUAUAUUUGUCAUUUGAGAACAAAUGGAAGAAAUAAAGUAUGAAAACUUGACAUCUUGCAUACCGUUGGUUAACUUGGGUCCAUUUGAGAAUUACGCAUGUUUGUACUUAGAUACUGUUUAAAUAUGAAAUUAAUGGAUACUGGAUUGCCAUAGUCCUGAAAUUUUUAUUAUAUUUGAAAUUGCAGUAAAUUUUAUGUAUGCAAUGCAUGGAUAAGAUUAAAUUCGUAUAUUUUAUUUUUUGAAUAAUAUUUUUUUAUGGAUGAAAAUAUAUAUUUGAAAAGGUGAUCAGCACCAAUCGUUGCAUGAGAAGACUAACUGUAUUUGUCUCUUCGUCGUUAUUGGUUCUAUAUUUACAUCUCAAAAGGUGUAGAUCAAUUGGUGGCACCCUUCCAUUUAAAAUGAAUGGGUAUGGCUGUGAAAUUAAAAUCAAGGGGUGUGAACGUAAAGUGCUGCAGCGAAACGAGGCUUAUUGACAAAUCGAUCUUCAUGAAUCAGUCCAAA
rnacentral:lncRNA from 1 species